rnacentral:rRNA from 1 species
CUACGGGAUGCAGCAGUGGGGAAUAUUGCACAAUGGGCGCAAGCCUGAUGCAGCCAUGCCGCGUGUAUGAAGAAGGCCUUCGGGUUGUAAAGUACUUUCAGCGGGGAGGAAGGGAGUAAAGUUAAUACCUUUGCUCAUUGACGUUACCCGCAGAAGAAGCACCGGCUAACUCCGUGCCAGCAGCCGCGGUAAUACGGAGGAUGCAAGCGUUAAUCGGAAUUACUGGGCGUAAAGCGCACGCAGGCGGUUUGUUAAGUCAGAUGUGAAAUCCCCGGGCUCAACCUGGGAACUGCAUCUGAACUGGCAAGCUUGAGUCUCGUAGAGGGGGGUAGAAUUCCAGGUGUAGCGGUGAAAUGCGUAGAGAUCUGGAGGAAUACCGGUGGCGAAGGCGGCCCCCUGGACGAAGACUGACGCUCAGGUGCGAAAGCGUGGGGAGCAAACAGGAUUAGAUACCCCCGUAGUC